rnacentral:rRNA from 1 species
AUUGAACGCUGGCGGAAUGCUUAACACAUGCAAGUCGAACGGUAGAGGGGGCAACCCCUUGGGAGUGGCGAACGGGUGAGUAAUAUAUCGGAACGUGCCCAGUCGUGGGGGAUAACGUAGCGAAAGUUACGCUAAUACCGCAUACGAUCUAAGGAUGAAAGCGGGGGAUCGCAAGACCUCGCGCGACUGGAGCGGCCGAUAUCAGAUUAGGUAGUUGGUAGGGUAAAGGCCUACCAAGCCAACGAUCUGUAGCUGGUCUGAGAGGACGACCAGCCACACUGGAACUGAGACACGGUCCAGACUCCUACGGGAGGCAGCAGUGGGGAAUUUUGGACAAUGGGCGAAAGCCUGAUCCAGCCAUUCCGCGUGCAGGAUGAAGGCCCUCGGGUUGUAAACUGCUUUUGUACAGAACGAAAAGGUUUCUAUUAAUACUAGGAGCUCAUGACGGUACUGUAAGAAUAAGCACCGGCUAACUACGUG